UACGUAGGUGGCAAGCGUUGUCCGGAUUUAUUGGGGUUAAAGGGUGCGUAGGCGGUCUAUUAAGUCAGUGCUGAAAUAUCCCGGCUUAACCGGGAGGGUGGCAUUGAUACUGAUGGACUUGAGUAGAGUCGAGGUAGGCGGAAUUGACGGUGUAGCGGUGAAAUGCUUAGAUAUCGUCAAGAACACCUAUAGCGAAGGCAGCUUACUAGGCUCUAACUGACACUGAGGCACGAAAGUGUGGGGAUCAAACAGG
rnacentral:rRNA from 1 species